rnacentral:rRNA from 1 species
UACGGAGGGGGCUAGCGUUGUUCGGAAUUACUGGGCGUAAAGCGCACGUAGGCGGCUUUGCAAGUUAGAGGUGAAAGCCCCGGGCUCAACCCGGGAAGUGCACUCGAUACUGUCGAGCUAGAGUAUCGGAGAGGUUGGUGGAAUUCUCGGUGUAGAGGUGAAAUUCGUAGAUAUCGAGAGGAACACCGGUGGCGAAGGCGGCUCACUGGCCCGGUACUGACGCUGAGGCACGAAAGCGUGGGGAGCAAACAGG